UACGGCAACAUCACGUUGAAACACCGGUUUUCGUACGAUCACCGAAGUUAAGCAACGUCGAGCAUGAUCAGUACCUAGAUGGGAGACCGCUUGAAAAUACCAGAUGUUGUAAG
rnacentral:rRNA from 1 species